rnacentral:rRNA from 1 species
CGAGUGAAGCGGGAAGAGCUCAACUUGAAAAUCUGGGUCGUUGUACGGCUCCGAAUUGUAGUCUAAAGAAACGCAGCCAUCGGCCGACGCGAGACAAGUCCCUUGGAAAAGGGCGCCCCAGAGGGUGACAGUCCCGUACAUGCUUGCGUGGGUCCGUCUACGGCGUGUUUUCGACGAGUCGAGUUGCUUGGGAUUGCAGCUCAAAGUGGGUGGUAAAUUCCAUCUAAGGCUAAAUAUCGGUGGGAGACCGAUAGCGAACAAGUACCGUGAGGGAAAGAUGCAAAGGACUUUGAAAAGAGAGUA